CUUUGGUAAUUGUGAUAUAUAAUUCAUUGAUACAUUUAGACUUAGAAUUUGCAGCGACAGUUUGAUUUUUUGUUGCUUUUACUUCAUAAAAUCUUAUAUUCAACCCUUAAAGAUACAUGCUUUCAGAAAAUAAACUUAACUGGACCUGUAAAUUUGUGUUCAGUAUCAUUGGAAGUCUACUCUUCUUGCAAGUUCUGAUUCUAUCAUCUUUAGAUAAAUAUGCCCUUGUCUAAUCUUCAUUGAUGAAAAUUGCAGGAAAAUAUUUGCACUUGGUGCUCUAGUUGUUUAUGGUGCCGAGUACCAUAGCACAGCUGUUUUGCUGCGGGCUGGGAGCUUGAACUUGAUUUCAUCUUUGGACACAUGACCCAAUGGUUUCUAUGGCUGUUGCUGGAAGCAAGUGUGGGAUGGAUACUGGAUGGUCAGCCUUACACCUAUAAUACCUUCCUCAACUCUUUGGAUUUAUUUUCUCUUCUUUAUUUUACAUCUUUCUAUGUUUCUCCUUUUGCAAGGCCUAAAAUUCCAUUUUUGGUUACUUAUAGAAAAUUGUCUCCCUUUUAUUUUGGCUUCAGUUGCUGGAUAUAGCUUGCAUCUUGGUAACCAUGAGGUUGUGAGGAUGGCUUGGAAAAGAUUCCUUCACAAUGUUUGCCAAGGAGUACUAACAAUCUCAACAAUCUGCAAACUUCAGUCUUUAAUUAGGUUUUGAUAGAACCCAAACAAAGCGUCUAGAUAGAUCCUGUACGUAUUUCCAUAGAUUAAUGAACAAACAAGCAUACGCUGUGUCUUAAGCUAGUGCCAGCCUUUUGGCUAUAGAAUCCUCUACCAAAUAAGUAUCUAUUACUAAAUACAUAGUAGAUACGACAAGAAUUUAUGGAGCAUACGUCAUGAGGUUACCAACGGUAAGUUUGACCGAUCUUGUGGUGAACCUUGUAUAUUUGGCAGUCAAUUAGACAGGUAAGAAUCAGAGUACAUAGACAGAUGAUGUUCAUGAACUCUUCUACUAAAUAAAUGAGUAGAGUUAUUGAGUAGAUUUAAGACAAAUCUUUCUGGAUUCGCUGGUAUUAAUUGUGCACCUCCAUUCCGCCCUAUAAAAGGAGCAUCCAUCGCACCGGACCAGAGACACCCUUCAGUCUGGUCUCUGGUGUCUGCAAUGGACAACCUCAAUACCCAUUCUGAACAGGCCAAUCAACCUCAGGGACAACAAGCAAAAUGGCCUUCCUUUGGAUAUACCAACAAGUGAGGUCUUAGAUACUCAUAUGAUUGAACCACAGAGCACAAAUCAGACGCCGCAAUGGUUCUCCCUUGAGCAGCACAGGCUGCAGUUGGAAUGAGCAGGCUCAGGUGUCGCAGCAGCAGGAAAUGUCUUUACAGAACGCAAUUCUAUCAAACCUUCUGACAACCGAUGCGCUGCUCCGGAACGUUGAAGAGGUAGUCAGGAUGCGCUUAGAGUUGCAAAGGAUCCGAGAGAAUCAAGAAACUUCACGGCAUGCUUGGGAUCAAUUGCUGCAGCUUGUUGUUCUUGUAUAUGAAAUGAACGAGGCACUUGUCAGAAUGAUUGCUACGUUGCAGCAGGAAAUGAACUCACAUGUUUCAGGCCCUGGAGAUGAAGCAUCAAGUGUGGCAAGCAGAGUCAACCAGGACUGAUCGUACUUGUAUGGUUUGCAACUCUGGUGGUGCUUGUAUGAUGUUGCUGUCGUGCAAGCACCUCUGCACCUGCAAGCCAUGUGCACUCCAUCUCACGGCUUGCCCAAUCUGCGGUGCUGUGAAGGAUGAUGCGAUCGAGACCCAGUUCAUAUGAGAAGUGAAGAAACAAUAGCAGCGAUGGGAACCUAUUGUUUCUGAUGUGCCUAAUAAGAACAUGUGUGUGUUUUCUUUUUUUCAGUGCAAGUGUGUUGGAGCCUUGGUUUGUUAUCCUUCUUGUAUGCUGUUCUAUAGUAGUCUUCAUCGUAUCAAUGUCAUAUUUCUGUUUUCUCAAUA